rnacentral:rRNA from 1 species
UCGAUUAGUUUGAUCAUGGCUCAGAGCGAACGCUGGCGGCAGGCCUAAUACAUGCAAGUCGAACGGACCCUUCGGGGUUAGUGGCGGACGGGUGAGUAACACGUGGGAACGUGCCCUUUGGUUCGGAACAACUCAGGGAAACUUGAGCUAAUACCGGAUGUGCCCUUCGGGGGAAAGAUUUAUCGCCAUUGGAGCGGCCCGCGUCUGAUUAGCUAGUUGGUGGGGUAAAGGCCUACCAAGGCGACGAUCAGUAGCUGGUCUGAGAGGAUGAUCAGCCACACUGGGACUGAGACACGGCCCAGACUCCUACGGGAGGCAGCAGUAGGGAAUCUUGCGCAAUGGGCGAAAGCCUGACGCAGCCAUGCCGCGUGAAUGAUGAAGGUCUUAGGAUUGUAAAAUUCUUUCAGCGGGGACGAUAAUGACGGUACCCGCAGAAGAAGCCCUGGCUAACUUCGUGCCAGCAGCCGCGGUAAUACGAAGGGGGCUAGCGUUGCUCGGAAUUACUGGGCGUAAAGGGCGCGUAGGCGGAUGUUUAAGUCAGAGGUGAAAGCCCAGGGCUCAACCUUGGAACUGCCUUUGAUACUGGACAUCUUGAGUACGGGAGAGGUGAGUGGAACUCCGAGUGUAGAGGUGAAAUUCGUAGAUAUUCGGAAGAACACCAGUGGCGAAGGCGACUCACUGGCCCGUUACUGACGCUGAGGCGCGAAAGCGUGGGGAGCAAACAGGA